GAAUUACUGAGGAGUCCCACGAUGGGACGAAAUGGACGUCCAAUGC
rnacentral:hammerhead_ribozyme from 1 species